UUUAACAUUGAUCAUAUCUACAUGCACAUCAAACAAUAGUGCCAGCUUUUUCAUUACAUCAGUCUUCUUCCUGCACUCACUAUUCCGUCUCCCCAAUCCAAGCAUCAAUAUCUAAAUUAACAAAAUCGCACUUGAUUUUGACCUAAAAUAAGACACAUCAAAACGUUUUUUCGACAAGCGAUGUUGUACAUUUUGAUUGACCAUUUCAUACCUAUGCGUUUUUAUGUACAAAAAAAUUAGAUCCUAGGAAGAAUAGCAUACAUCAAGAGUGUCGACACGUGUUCAUCAUCCAUUUAUUUUGUUCUCCUUUGUACUCCUCUCAGAAAUAUGUGCUAUUGUUUUCUGCAACACAAAAUUACCAAUUUUAAUCACAACAUGAAAGCAGCACAAACUUAUAAUGGGUACCUGCUACAUUGUCUCACACCAUCAUCAUUCCCAUCCUCUUGGUCUUCAGUCUUCCUCCGAAAACACUUCCUAUCCUUAAGAGGAUGCACUUGGCGAGCUUACCUUCUGGUUGUCAGUCUCAUCAUCAUCAUCGGCCAAAAAACUUGGAAGUGCUUCGUUUCUUCACAAGCUUUGACUUCUCCCUUUCGUAUUUCUGGUAAUUCUGCGACAAAGGAAAGCAUAGCAAUAAAUCAUCAAAGGCAAAGUUAUAACACUGUUUGUAACACACCGGAUUGCUCAACAGAUGUGGUGCAUCAAAUCGUGUGCCCUUGCGGGGUACCUUGGCGUAUACAACGGGGCGUAAAAUUUUAGUACCACGAGCUCAAUUGUGUCAAAUACAAUUUGUGUACUUCACUACGGAGUAAAUGUCAAUUCCCAUGAAUCACGAUUGGUCGGUCGAGAAACUGGAUUGCAUGACAAUUCAGUUCAGUUAAACGUUCUCACUUAAAAUGAGUGUGUUGCUAGAAAAAUGCGAGGAAGCCCUCGAACUGAAAAGGCAAAGAAUGCAUUCAAGCUUACCUUCUGAUUAGAGCAUCCGAUUAAUUUCUGCAGUAAGUGUUCCUUAUUAGUACUUAGUAGUCAUAGGCCUGAAAAAACUUCUUCAUUAGUCACCAUGAAUCUACAGCUUAAUUAAUUGCAUAUGCUCUAAAUAUGAGAUUAGUUCAAUAUGAAUUGUAUAUUUAGCAAAGAAAGAAAGCAUGUUCGAAAAUUUAACAACAGG
rnacentral:lncRNA from 1 species